rnacentral:sRNA from 1 species
UCCUGUUACUGUCCCGCGAACCCACAUCCCUACAAAGCAGGAAAGUAUGCUUGGGAGAGGCCAAGUGAGUGGGGAAUCAGCCCAAAGCCAGGCAUCCAGGGUCUCCCUCACCUGAAGCUGACUUUUUCCCCACCUUGGACAGAGGGCGGGAGAUGCCAUCCCCACUGAACCCAGUGCUUUCACCAGCCAUAUUAGCUCCCACUCACCCCCCGUCGUGGAAGCCUCGGCCGUCACACCUGCAGGGCCGGGGCGUGCAUGGCCUCAGGGAUGGCCUGUUCAGCUGCUGGGUGACUCAGGUCCAGGUGCCUCACCACCUGCUGAGCUCUGUGUGAUUUCUGGACACUUCUGCUGAUUGCCUUUGGGCUCAGUGAAGAGUCUGGAGUUUAUCUGGAGUGAGGUGGCCGGGUCUUGGUGGGAUCUGAGCAGGUGGAGGCAAUGCCCAGAGCUGUGGCAGCCACCUUGCAGCCGUGAAGCACCAGUGGGAAUGACAGUCAAGAGAACCAUGGAGAUGCCAGCCCCUGGACCCACAGCAGCAGCACCUGCUUCCAGACUGAGAGUGUGAGAAAAAAAUAAACCCCUAUUUGUUUAUGGCAAGGUUA